UUUUUUUUUUUUUUUUUUUUUUUUUUUUUUUUUUUUUUUUUUUUUUUUUUUUUUCCCCCCACAGCAUCUUUUUUUUUUUUUUUUUUUUUUUUUUUUUUUUUUUUUAAGAUUUUGGGUUUUGUUUCCAAUAUUAAGUUAUUUUAAAUUGUGGUUGAAGCAAUAGAAAAUUGAAAUAUGGAUUGUGCAUGACUGUGUCUUGAGUGUAAAAAUAUUGCAGUUUGAAACUUGGACCUAAAGUAUUGCAAAUAAAAGUUAUAAAUACCA